AGAAUUUGUAAUGAUUUAUUACGGUUUUACAGCAGUAACUAGGGUAUUUUGGCGGAAACUAGGGUUACCAUGGUAAAAAUUUUGCGAAUGAUUUCCUGUUGUUGUGAGGAUCUGCCAUUAGAUUGAAUCUAGACGGGACUCAAGCUCGUGCCACGUUACGUUACGGUGCGUUAGCCUCAAAUGUGUUCCCUGUCAUUUCUCGGUAAAGUGCUGUCCUUCCAUGGAUUCACUCAAGUAUUUGAGCUGAAGUAGAUAAUCGCAAGGAACAUAGUUGUCGGUAUCUGUAGUAGAUCUGCAGCGUAUAAAUCUCAGAAAGAGAGGAAUAGUGUUAUUUUAGUCCAAUACAGCGUAACUGCAUUAUGCAGAGUGGAGCCUUUUUUCUCGCUCGCAAAUAAAAUAAUGGGAGAGAAAUGAGAAGGAAAACAAAAGCGCAGCGAAUUCUUGACUACGAAAAUGAAGAGGAUGAGGAAGAGGAACAAAAACCGGACUGCUUCAGUAACGGUGCACAGAAACGAAGAAAAAUGUAUUCCUCCAAAGAGAAAGCAGAAGAAAAUAGCUCAUCCGACGCAGGGCUUCAGAAGUUAGACAUCAAGGUUAAUGAGCUGGAUUGUUCUUCCGCAGACCUCUACACUGACAGUUCUCCUGCUUCUGAGUCUGAGGAGGCUCAUUAUUUACAGACCUAUUCGAAGAAGGAGCUUAUUGCCAUGGUCUUAUGCAUGCAGAGGGAAAUGGAGGACUUGAAGGAACAACUUAGGUGCCUUACAGCAUGUGGAAAGCUAGCAAGAAACCUGGAAAUGCUGAUCGAGAAGACCCAGAUGUGGUCAAAUGGGAACAAUGGGACCUCUCUCGGGACCCCAGAUUCUCAAGGCACGGCGCAGGCACCUGCCGAGGCAGAUGCUGUGAUACCAGAUGUGCGUUCUCCUCCAGCCAUUGUGAAUGGGCAAUGGCUGAAUCAGGGUCCAGGACCACAGAAACCUCAUGAGGCCACUCAGAAUGCUCAAAGGGACGGGCUCUUCACAGAGUUUAUCACUCCUGAACUUUUGGAGAGGUGUAACACAGGCACCACUGCCCAAAAACUGACCAACGACCUGCUCCGUGGACUCUAUGAGCGGGAAUGCCUGGCUUCCCACUCUAUAUCUGGAGUCGUGUACAACAAGAGAGGCCAACCAAAGCCUGCUCUCCCCACCGAAGAGAUCCAGGCAAUCCUGAGAACCGUUCAGUAUUUCUUUCCUGGCAAGACUGACGCAGAGAUCAAGGGCUACAUCCGACAGAAACUGCAAAACGAAGCCAAGAGGCUGAGGAAGAAACCGUCACUCUCAGGCCAAUAUGAGUCUAGAGGUUUCAGUGUACCGUUAGAUAUGAUCGACCAGAAUUGAAACGCACAGUUAGUAGAUAUUAAUUGCGUGUUCUCCAUUAAAUUAGCCUUAUUCGGUGUUACUUACAAUUAAAGUCCUGGACUCAAGUGAAAUUGAUGUGCAUUGAUAAUAGUCUUCAAAGAAAGUCACACUGAUCUCUUGCAGCUGCCAUUCGGCGGUUGACGGUUGUGGCUUUCUGAUGUGAAAAUGCAAAUGAGCGAUUCCAGAUAAGUCCAAAUGUUGCAUUCAUGAAAGCCUCUGGCUGCAUCGAGCACAGUCCACGCUUAGAUAUCGAGAUGUUUAGAUAUUAAUGAAUUAAUGAUGUGUCUCUGUGAACGUCUGUUUUUUUUAAUACUUUGUAUUUAACAGAUGUAGGAUUUCAAGACGUACCAUUGUGCGCGGAGCGUAAUAGGGUGUGACCAUUAUUUACAUUGUAUUUUCAAUGUAUUUCUUAUUUGAUGAUGUUAUUUGGUCUAUAUGACAACAGCUUUAUGUAUGUAGUUUUUUGUUAUUAAAUGCUGAAAACGCAGGUCUGCUUAUUGGUAUUAGCUUUUCAACUUUUUAUUUAUUUUUUAUUCAAUAUGGUUUUUGGUUGUUAAU
ensembl:lncRNA uncharacterized LOC107565757